GAUGAACGCUGGCGGUAUGCUUAACACAUGCAAGUCGAACGGACUCUUCGGAGUUAGUGGCGGACGGGUGAGUAACGCGUGAGAAUCUGGUUUUGGGUUCGGGACAACCACUGGAAACGGUGGCUAAUACCGGAUGUGCCGAGAGGUAAAAGAGAAAUUGCCUGAAGAUGAGCUCGCGUCUGAUUAGCUAGUUGGUGAGGUAAAGGCUCACCAAGGCAGCGAUCAGUAGCUGGUCUGAGAGGAUGACCAGCCACACUGGGACUGAGACACGGCCCAGACUCCUACGGGAGGCAGCAGUGGGGAAUUUUCCGCAAUGGGCGAAAGCCUGACGGAGCAAUACCGCGUGAGGGAAGAAGGCUCUUGGGUUGUAAACCUCUUUUCUUAGGGAAGAACAAAAUGACGGUACCUAAGGAAUCAGCAUCGGCUAACUCCGUG
rnacentral:rRNA from 1 species